AACGUAGGUGGCAAGCGUUAUCCGGAAUACUGGGCGUAAAGCGUGCGCAGGCGGUUUUGUAAGUCUGACGUGAAAGCCCCGGGCUUAACCUGGGAAUUGCGUUGGAGACUGCAAGGCUUGAAUCUGGCAGAGGGGGGGUAGAAUUCCACGUGUAGCAGUGAAAUGCGUAGAGAUGUGGAGGAACACCGAUGGCGAAGGCAGCCCCCUGGGUCAAGAUUGACGCGCUCAUGCACGAAAGCGUGGGGAGCAAACAGG
rnacentral:rRNA from 1 species